CCUACGGGGCGCAGCAGUGAGGAAUAUUGGUCAAUGGGCGAGAGUCUGAACCAGCCAAGUAGCGUGAAGGAUGACUGCCCUAUGGUUUGUAAACUUCUUUUAUAUGGGAAUAAAAUGUUCCACGUGUGGGAUUUUGUAUGUACCAUAUGAAUAAGGAUCGGCUAACUCCGUGCCAGCAGCCGCGGUAAUACGGAGGAUCCGAGCGUUAUCCGGAUUUAUUGGGUGUAAAGGGAGCGUAGGUGGAUUGUUAAGUCAGUUGUGAAAGUUUGCGGCUCAACCGUAAAAUUGCAGUUGAAACUGGCAGUCGUGAGUACAGUAGAGGUGGGGGGAAUUCGUGGUGUAGCGGUGAAAUGCUUAGAUAUCACGAAGAACUCCGAUUGCGAAGGCAGCUCACUGGACUGCAACUGACACUGAGGCUCGAAAGUGGGGGUAUCAAACAGGAUUAGAUACCCCUGUAGUC
rnacentral:rRNA from 1 species